UACGUAGGGUGCAAGCGUUGUCCGGAAUUAUUGGGCGUAAAGAGCUCGUAGGCGGCUUGUCGCGUCGAAUGUGAAAUCUCAGGGCUCAACUCUGACAUUGCAUUCGAUACGGGCAGGCUCGAGUUCGGUAGGGGGAGACUGGAAUUCCGUGGUGUAGCGGUGAAAUGCGCAGGAUAAUCAGGAGGAACACCGGUGGCGAAGGGCGGGG
rnacentral:rRNA from 1 species